ACACACACACAUGAACAUUCCUACCCCUAUGAGCAUCCCCGAGAGACUGAGCCGACAUAUCAUCUUGAGAUUGAUAAAGUCACUACAGACGCCUCGUAAUCGACGGCAACGUCUCCUUCCACUGAAAAUGCAUUGCCAAAAAUCUAAAAUAAAUCUACAAUAACACGAGCAUCAGAACUUGAACUCUGGUUGGCUGAGAUAUCACUGUCCUCCUAACCAUCCAAUCACAGGUCACAUGUUGGUUCGCUCCCAACCCACAUGCCAUAGGCAAGGUUUCUUACCAUAUGGCAAUAAUUUACUCGCAACAAAAGAUAUGGCUUGCCACAUAUUUGGCCAAGAAAAAGUGUCGCACCGGUAGACUCCGACCAAACAUGCCCCAGUGUUUAGAAGGAAACGCAAAGAAUAAGGCGAAGAGGAAUGUAGCAUUACUCUUCUUUAUUCCUUCCCAUUUCUUUGGUAUAAAAGGUUACACCGUAGCUGGAUUAGUCUACGGACGAAUUAAAAGCUUGCAGCGGUAGAAAAUUUCCCUACGUUCUUGUUUUUCUCUUUUUUUAGUAACGUUUUUCUCCUUUUUUUCUUAGUCCACGGACUGGACGCACUCCAUGCAACAACUGGGAAACCGGGAAACAUUUGGCCCACACGGCCUAGUAGGUAUCACUUUUUUUUAAAGCCCAAGUAGGUAGGUAUAACUUAACUCCGUCUAUUUUUAGCCACUUCUUCCAUUUUCGCCUUAGCCAACUCUAUCGUUUUCGCCGCAGCCGCCUGUAGCAUCAUCGGCACCGCACGCGCAAAAUCGCCAACCUGAGUGAAGACACCGGGGUCACUGUAUUUGAUGCUGCGUGAUAGGAACAGGAUAGAAGAAAGUUAGACAAGGUUCAAGAAAAGGAAGCCGCAGAGCAUAUUGUCGAGAAAAAUAGAGAAGCCAGAGCAUGAGCAUACCGUGGUAUCUUGACGCCAUUCACCUCCCUCUCGUUGUACCUUGAUAGGAUAGAUGGAUAAUCCAAUUAGCUAGAGAAAACUAAUACCAAGUAAAGGAAGAUGCAGAUAUCGAUCCUCAAAGGAAGGAGGGAAGAGGACGUAGAUCGCAUCACAGAGAGUUGUGGGAUCAUGAACGGACCUGCGGCGUCGAUCCUCUUCCCCUUCGAACGUUUCCAUGCCCACUGCACGUUUGAACCGUCCCCAACCCGAGGCGGCAUUUCCAUCACCGGACCCUUUUCCCAUCGUAGCGUGCGUAGAUAAGGCCGAGAGCUAACUGAAACCGUGGGUGCGUUGAUGGUGUUUGCGCAAGGUGAGUGUGUGUGAUGGCACUCGGGUGCCGGUGGACGGAUUUAUAGGCUCUCGCCCGUCGCCC
rnacentral:lncRNA from 1 species